GACGAACGCUGGCGGCAUGCCUAACACAUGCAAGUCGAGCGAGAUCUUCGGGUCUAGUGGCGCACGGGUGCGUAACGCGUGGGAAUCUGCCCUCUGGUUCGGAAUAACAGUUGGAAACGACUGCUAAUACCGGAUGAUCACGAAAGUCCAACGGUGUACCGCCAGAGGAUGAGCCAGCGUAGGAUUAGCGAGUUGGUGUGGUAAGGGCGCACCAAGGCGACGAUCCUUAGCUGGGCUGAGUGGAUGUUCAGCCACACUGGGACUGAGACACGGCCCAGACUCCUACGGGAGGGAGCAGUGGGGAAUAUUGGACAAUGGGCGAAAGCCUGAUCCAGCAAUGCCGCGUGAGUGAUGAAGGCCUUAGGGUUGUAAAGCUCUUUUACCCGGGAUGAUAAUGACAGUACCGGGAGAAUAAGCUCCGGCUAACUCCGUGCCAGCCGCCGCAGUAA
rnacentral:rRNA from 1 species